rnacentral:rRNA from 1 species
UGCCGCGUGUGUGAAGAAGGCCCCCGGGUUGUAAAGCACUUUUGUCCGGAAAGAAAUCCUUGGUUCUAAUACAGUCGGGGGAUGACGGUACCGGAAGAAUAAGCACCGGCUAACUACGUGCCAGCAGCCGCGGUAAUACGUAGGGUGCGAGCGUUAAUCGGAAUUACUGGGCGUAAAGCGUGCGCAGGCGGUUUGCUAAGACCGAUGUGAAAUCCCCGGGCUCAACCUGGGAACUGCAUUGGUGACUGGCAGGCUAGAGUAUGGCAGAGGGGGGUAGAACUCCACGUGUAGCAGUGAAAUGCGUAGAGAUGUGGAGGAAUACCGAUGGCGAAGGCAGCCCCCUGGGCCAAUACUGACGCUCAUGCACGAAAGCGUGGGGAGCAAACAGGAUUAGAUACCCUGGUAGUCCACGCCCUAAACGAUGUCAACUAGUUGUUGGGGAUUCAUUUCCUUAGUAACGUAGCUAACGCGUGAAGUUGACCGCCUGGGGAGUACGGUCGCAAGAUUAAAACUCAAAGGAAUUGACGGGGACCCGCACAAGCGGUGGAUGAUGUGGAUUAAUUCGAUGCAACGCGAAAAACCUUAUCUACCCUUGACAUGGUCGGAAUCCUGCUGAGA